UGUAGCCAUCCCAUGUUGGAACAACGAUUCCCGUGCAAUCACCGAAGUUAAGCAACGUCGAGACUGUUCAGUACCUAGAUGGGUGACCGCUUGGGAAUACCAGAUGUUGUAA